UUGCGGCAGUGACAGGCAGCACUAAACAGUGAAUCACAACACGGAAGCCGGCUGUGCGUUGCUAGAAGGUCUUCUUGUUGGGUGCAAUAUCGCUAUUCCAUCUGUCAACGUCAGGCCACAAAGGACCGCCGUCCAACAUGACUGUUACAAUUCACGUUGUUUACUGUGGUGCCUGAGGGUACAAGCCCAAGUUUAAUCGUCUGAAGAAAGACCUGGAGAGCAAAUUCCCUGGCAAUCUUCAGAUAACAGGGGAGGGCACUCCUCAGAGUACAGGCUGGUUUGAAGUGACCAUCGAUGGAAAAUUGGUGCAUUCAAAAAAGAAUGGUGAUGGGUAUGUGGAUAGUGAUGCAAAGCUGUCCAAAAUUGUGGAAGCAAUCAAAGCUGCUUUGAAGCUCUAAGAGAGAUGGAUGUUUAUAUUCUUGCAGGAGGCUAAACCCUCAUCUCUGUUCUCCUUGGUGGAUCACUUAAUGAUGGCGGUGUUCUCAGUGCACAAGAGUGCAUGGAUACCCCCUGAUGAAUUGUGUGAAGCUGAUGAGGCUGGAGAUUGUUUGGUGUUUGUGCUACUUCCUUGAAAGAAUUUUUUUUUCUUGUUUACAUUUUGUUUGUCCCCCUCAUGACCAGGUUACACUUCUAUGUUUUUAUGUUUACACACAAAUGCAAAGCAGUUAUGGAGGAUUCAUGCCCAAAUGCAGUUUAACAACCCUUCAGUUUUAUUUCAGAUUAAAAAAAUAGUGAUUUUUUUUUUUAUAAUGGGCUUGUGUGGCUUUGAAGUUUUGCUAUGCUCUGCUUGAAGCCCUCUUUGUAUUUUUCAUCUGAAACAUUACUCCUGUGUAGAUCUGGCCCUUUGGAAUAAGCUACUACAUAUGCUUUAUAAUAUUAUAGCAUUACAUUAAGACAGUACAAUAAGAAAAUAGACUGGGGGGUGGACAUUAAAGAGUGAGGGACUGGGUAUUCCUUCAUAUCAGUUUUUUGUCAUUUAAACCAUGAAUUCUGACCAAACAACACAUAUCUUAAAGCCAGGAUGGUCUUAUUGGGCAAAGUCCUGGGCUCUUUAAACUUUCUAAUUGAUACAAUCUUGCUCUGUUAUCACAACUCUAAAUAAAAUGUAAUAAAUAUU